UUCUUUUCCUAGGUGCUGGUGAUCCCGAAGCGUCCACAUGGAGGGGGAGCUUCACUUUGAGCAGUUGAAAGAGCUUGUUGAAAGACUGACAGAAACAGAAGAGGAUCCAUCAUGUGUGCCUGAGUCUAUUGAAAGACUCUACAGGGAAGUGGCAAAUAUGGAGAAAGAGGCUUUGAUCGAUACCCAGAAAGCCCAGUAAACUCCAGAGGAUGCAGAUCACCUUCAGGAUCAAAUUUUAAAUCCUUGGUAUGGCAUUCAAAGCCCUCCAUAUCUUUACCUCCACACACACCUUUCCAGGCUUCUUACACAUCACUCCCCUACCCCAUGUCCUCUUCAGUUCAAUGACACUGGUUUUCUUGCUAAAGAUACUUCAUCCCCUGACUCUGUUGAUUUUCACAUGUUCUCCUUCCUUAUCUCUGCUUCCUGGCUUCGUUCAAGUCCCAGAUAAAUUCCUGCCUUCUGCAAGAAGCAUUUCCCAAUCCCCUUUGAUGAUAGGGUCUUCCAUCCGCUGAUUAUCUGCGGUCCAUGCUAUGCAUGGCUUAUUUGCAUGUUGUUUUCCCCAUUGUGCCGUGAGCUCCUUGACCUUUCUCUGUAUCCCCAGGUUUUAGUGCUGUCCCUGGCACAUGGCUAGGAAGCCAUUGCUCUUCUUAGUUCAGGAUAACACUGGUGGUCACUGGGAUUAUUAUACAUCUCAGUGCCGAUUCUUCCUCGCAAAGUACUUAGAGUAGUUGACACAUUUUUUCCUGCUCCCUGAAAUGCUGUGAAGAAGAUGGAAUCCUUCUUAAACCUGUAUAAGUAAUUUUGACCAUGUUUUUCCCCUUGAUAUAUUUAAACCAUUGGUCCCCUUGGGAAAUUAAUAUUGUCAAUUAAUA